rnacentral:lncRNA from 1 species
AUUCAGGCUCUUUGGUUGAGUGCCUCGCUGGCCGACGCUAUUUGGUUGAGCGCCUCUGGUCGGCGCUCUUUGGUCGAGCGCCUUGCUGGUCGGCGCUAUUUGGUCGAGCGCCUUGCUGGUCGGCGCUAUUUGGUCGAGCGCCUUCGAGGUGGCAUGACUUGGGGUUUUUCCCCCAACACUACCCCCGACUUCCAAGUUCCAGCUGGCUACCAGCUUGAGCGCGUGAAGUAGUUUUAGUUGGGUCAUUACGGAUUUCGAAAAUUUUUAAUUAUCGCGCUUUUCUAUUUAUCGGGCGCUUCGAGGUGCCUCUAAUAGGCGGCGUCUCUUCUUUUCCGAAAUGUCCCAUUAUUGGGACGCCCUCUCCGAAGCGUCCUCGCGUCGUGGGCUCAUGAUGGGGCCGUACGAUCCGAUGGGGCGCUUCGGUGUUCGAAGCAUCAACCCGAAUUAAAUGUCGCGCUCCGUCUUUUGGGCCGACACGUGUCGUAAUCUAAACGGGAUGUAGCGUUUCUCUCGCUGAUCCGGGCCGUUGGAGGGGUCUAUAUAAACUCUCACCCGGCCUC